rnacentral:lncRNA from 1 species
GGGGACGGAAGGACAGCAGACAGAAGGAUAGAGGACGGAAGGAUGGAGGAUGGAAGGAUGGAAGGAUGGAGGAUGGAAGGAUGGCGGACAGAAGGAUGACAGAAGGACGGGGACAGAAGGAUGAUGGAAGGAUGGGGACGGAAGGACAGCGGACAGAAGGAUGACAGAAGGACGGGGAGGGAAGGACGAGGGACAGAACGAUGGAGGAUGGAGGAUGGAAGGAUGGAAGGAUGGAAGGACAGCAGACAGAAGGAUGACAGAAGGACGGCGGACAGGAUGGAGAAUGGAAGGAUGGAGGAUGGAAGGAUGGAAAGAUGGAGGAUGGAAGGACGGGGACGGAGAGAUGGAGGACAGACAGAAGAAUGGAAGACGGAAGGAUGGGGAUGGAAAGAUGAGGACAGAAGGACGGGGGACAGAAGGACGGGGGACAGAAUGAUGGAAGGAUGGGAGACAGAUAGAAGUAUGGAANNNNNUGGGGACAGAAGGAUGGAGGACAGAAGGACGGGGGACAGAAUGAUGGAAGGAUGGGGGACAGAAGCAUGGGGACAGAAGGAUGGGGGACGGAAGGACGGAGGACGGAAGGACGGGGUACACUGGGGUCACCACAACUUGGGGACACCAUGAUAUGAGGACACCACGACAUGGGGACACCAUGAUAUGGGGACACCAAGACAUGGGGACAGCAAGACAUGGGGACAGCAAGACAUGGGGACAUCAUGAC